ACACUCCUACGGGAGGCAGCAGUGGGGAAUAUUGCACAAUGGGCGCAAGCCUGAUGCAGCCAUGCCGCGUGUAUGAAGAAGGCCUUCGGGUUGUAAAGUACUUUCAGCGGGGAGGAAGGCGAUAAGGUUAAUAACCUUGUUGAUUGACGUUACCCGCAGAAGAAGCACCGGCUAACUCCGUGCCAGCAGCCGCGGUAAUACGGAGGGUGCAAGCGUUAAUCGGAAUUACUGGGCGUAAAGCGCACGCAGGCGGUCUGUCAAGUCGGAUGUGAAAUCCCCGGGCUCAACCUGGGAACUGCAUUCGAAACUGGCAGGCUAGAGUCUUGUAGAGGGGGGUAGAAUUCCAGGUGUAGCGGUGAAAUGCGUAGAGAUCUGGAGGAAUACCGGUGGCGAAGGCGGCCCCCUGGACAAAGACUGACGCUCAGGUGCGAAAGCGUGGGGAGCAAACAUGAUUAGAUACCCUUGUAGGCCCAU
rnacentral:rRNA from 1 species